rnacentral:rRNA from 1 species
ACGGAGGGUGCAAGCGUUGUUCGGAAUCACUGGGCGUAAAGGGCGCGUAGGCGGUUUGAUAAGUCAGAUGUGAAAGCCCACGGCUUAACUGUGGAAGUGCAUUUGAAACUGUCAGACUUGAGUAUCAGAGGGGUGAGUGGAAUUCCCGGUGUAGGAGUGAAAUCCGGAGAUACCUGGAGGACCACCGGUGGCGAAGGCGUCUCUCCGGGUCAGUACUGACACUGAGGCGCGAAAGCGUGGGUAGCAAACCG